UGCUUGUCGGCCUGUCUGUCCUGUUCCCAGCCAUCCGUCCAUCUGCCCAUCCGUGCACCCACCUGUCCUUCCUCCCAUCCACCUGCUGUGGUCCUCUGCAGACGAUGUUCUGGAGCUCUCCUGUGUGUUUCCCGAAAGCAGGUACUCUCUUACCUGCCGAACCAGUACCGUUACCGACCUCCAGAAGUUAACGUCCACUCCACACGAUCAUCUAACCGAAGGCCUUACUGCAGCCUCACUGUUUGUCACAGUGUGCUGUCCUGUAAUUUUUAGCAGAGGAGGGUCCCCGGUCACACGUUCCGUUCAGGCGUCCCGUCUCUUCGGUCCGUCUCCUGGAGCGGUUCGGCCUGCCUUCGUGUUUCCUGGUGUUGGCGUUCUUGAAGAGUGCACGUCCCUCAGUUUGGGUUUGUCUGAUGUUCCCUCAGGAUGAGAUUCAGGUGAAGAGUGUCACAGGUGUGAUGCUGUGUCCUUUUGUCCCGUGACACGUAUUGUAAAGAGUUCUCGUUAGAACCAAACUUCUUUUUGCAGUUGUCUACAAUUGCUUGCAUGGUUGCACAGUCCAGGCAUAUUCAGAGAAAUCGGUUUCUCUUCCUGUGCACACCCCCUUCCUUCUUCUCCUCUGUAGAUAACCAGUGUCUUUUGAUUUUACGGCUUAUGAUUCCACUGACUCUUUUGUAGAAACAAACACGUACGUUCUUAACUUCCUCCUUGGAUGAAUGUUAUCCCGGUCUCACUUUCUCCCAUUUCCAUUGCCUCCCGGAGGUCCCUCCAGAAUGGUACCUAGACAGCGUCCCUGUCCUGCAUUACACCUGCUGUGUGGCUUUGGCGGGGUUUAACCGCCUGUGCCCUGGGUGGCGAGUUCCUUUCCUCCGGCCAGGUUCAUAGUUUCAGGUGGUCCUUUGGCCGCCCCUGUUGAGCAUCUGGCACAACGUCCUGGGUCGUGUGGGUGGAGGAAUUAAUUGCAGAAAAACUCGGUCGGGUUGGAAUCUGCACAGGAGAGCCCAUCUCUUCCUCCGCUCUUUCUUCCCACUCAGUAGCUGGGGGAGCAGAGCGUGCACGAGAGGAUAUACAGCAUCCUUGAGACCCACAGGGUGCUUUGGGUUGCUGCUGGACCGGCCUCUGUGCCCCGGUCCCGCAGGAGGGGUGCUGACGUGGGCUCAGGGGAGCUUGGGUCUGCAGUCGGCACCCAUGCUUCUAGUCCUCGAGUCGGCCGCCGGGUAACGGCCGGCUGCGGACGUUCACCCGUUCACGGCCUCAGCUCCCCCUCUGCAAAACGCCUAAGUGGCCGGUGUUAAAACUCCAUUCAAUUAUCUGUAGUACUUUCUUCCAGAAAGCAGACUAUUGUUCUUUGUGGGGAGGAGGAAAUAGCCCGAGUGUGCAGCGGCUUUCUUGGUUAUGAAAUAUUGAACAGUACAAAUGUUCCUGAGAGAAAAUGACGUAGGGUGGAGACUGUGAGUUGGAAAUGCGUCCCGGCUCGUGACUGGAGGCAGGAGCCUAAAUUUGUUAAAGAAGUGCAUAAGUAAGUUAAAAGCAUCGUGCAUUUGCAUUUAGCCCGAAAUGCAUUUCGGUUGUUACUGCUUUUUAAGCACGAGCACACAGUAAGUGGUCCACAGUUUCUGUGCCUUUCUCCACCUCCUGCUGGGUGUGGGCCCUGGGAAAGGAGAUUCUCUCCGAAAGGGACUUGGGGUGGAAUUUGGCUCUUGGAGGAAAUGCUCAUGGGGCCUCCGGGGUCUGGGGGUUUCCUGGUUGCCAGGCGAAGCCUGAACCUCCCUGACCCGCGCACGGGUUCUGUGUUGAUGCGAAGGCCUGUGGAAUCCUCCCUGGGGGGCCCACCCUGGGGUCUUGAGCCCCCACGGCGUAGGGACCGUGCUCACUGGGCCACCGACACCCACCCAAGGCCAGAUGCAUGUAGGUUCCCGGCGGACGCAGAUGGGCAGACGGCAGUUAGCUCAUGCAGAGUGUGGCUGUGCAGAGGACGGAGGCUGUGCACCGGAGCCCCGGUGCGCCCCUUCCUGCUCCGGAGCCACGGCGGGUCAGUGUGGCUGUCUGUUUCCCGCCCGAGAGGGUUUCACUCCCGUGGCCUGGAGCAUCUCUCUCUGAUGCCUAGACUUCAAGGAAGGGCCCUGGAGGGAAGGGAAGUUUCUGAGCGGCCAGUUGGGUGGUUGAGGGCAAGCGAGUGCUUUCUCUCCCACAAAGUCCUCUGCCAGCAGGGGCUUUGGGAGCUGCCUGCUGCCUGCUUACGGUUUGGAGGGGGGCGGGAAUUGUCCAGACAAGGUGAGGCCCCAUUCCAGGCCCACUGGCUGCAGGGCUAGGUGUGGGGUUGGCCACGUGGUGGUGGAUGUGGGCCCGCAGAUGUCCAUCUGGGAGUCUGGCGUUUUGUUUGUUGGUUUGACUCUGCUCCUGCCGUUAAAUCGGUGCUGUUCAGCGAAGAGGAAGGCAGAUCCGGAUCCCUUCUACUCCUGGGUCUGGCAUUGUCCUCUGACGGGCACUUUGGAAGAGGACAGAACCGAGCUCCGUGGGAUGUGUUUCGUCAGGAGCCACGCGAGCUCUGGGAGCUUUCUCGUUGACGCCCCGCAUUCACCCACUGAACACCUCACCCGCUCCCUGGGCGGUGAGGAGCCGGAGGAUGGGAUCCCGCUACGCUGGCAUGCCUGAGCUCCCGCGUGGGGACGGCACCUUGCCUUCCCCGCCCUCUGCCGCCCCCGGCUGGUCCCCUCCUGCCGAGACCCCCACGGACGAGGCCACACUGGUCCAGCGGGCCGCCCUGUGACGUGGGCUGGCCCCAACUUUCUUCCAGCUCCAUGUGGAACUUCACGUCGCGCCUCCUCUACUGAGCCGGAUUCUCGUGUGACAGAGUGAAGGUGGCCGGCGCCGUAUCUACGUAUCCCCACAGCUUAGGCUCGUGGUCUAGUGGUUGUGGGUGCUCAGUGCGUAUUUGAACGGAUGAGUCUAUGGAUGCAUGAGUCAAUGGGUAGGUGAGUGGGUGGGUGGGUGAGUGGAUGGAUGAGUCAGUGGGUAGGUGGGUGGAUGGAUGGAUGGGCCGAUGAGUGGGUGAGUGGGUGAAUGGGUAGAUGGCUGGAGGGUGAGUGGGUGAGCGGAUAGAUGGAUGGACGUGUGGGUCUGUGGGUAGGCGGGUGGAUGGAUGAGUGGACAGACAGACUGUUCCUUCCACCGGCCACGCUUCUGCACAUCCUUCCAGGUCCCAGCGGGCACCUACCACAGCUCAGGUCCUCCAGAUCCGCCCUUCCCUGCUCUCACCCCGUCUGGUGUUUGGUCCUUAAGCAUGUGUUUUAUAUGUGUCACGUUUGCUCCCUGGUGAGCUCACCCACUCGGAGACUCAGGGCCUGGUCUUGCCUUGUUGGGGGCAGAGUCCCGGCGGCCCCGACCCCAGAGCUGUGCAGGGUGCAGGUGCUUAGAAAAUAGCUCAUUGCUGUGGGGAAGGGCUGGGCAUGGCGGGCUCAGCUGCGGGGCACUAAGUGCUGGUGGGAAAGAGAGAGGGACCAGGGAUGGGCACACACACAUUUUCUGUUUCUGGGUCCGGGGCCCCAGAGCCCAGACCUCGGGCGGCCCCGUGAAGCCACGUCAUCUGUGCUGAGGGGCUGUCGGUUCCUGAAAGACAGCUGUUCUGGGUCAAAACCCUGGAUGAGAUCCUAUUUCUCAUUAUUUUACACGGAAAGAAUGUUAACCCGCUGCUUGUUACCCCAAAACCCCAGCUGGUUUCCCAAGAGGGACCUAACCCUGCGGUAGGCUGGUGUCUAAGCAGCCCAGCACGGCAGGUGCCGCCCCCUGAGGGCCAGACAGCACGGUCGUUGAAAGCUCGUUCUUGGAGGUUGGUGGCACCACAGUAAGCGAAGUCCACGUCAGAGACAUUGCGCGGACGGAAGUUGCCCAUCCCGAACGGUGUUUCUCCGGGAGAAGCUGAGGGGGAAGGGAGUUGUCGUGGGCGCUUUUUUGCUGGUCAUUAAACGUAGCGGCGUGCCCUCGGCUUAGAGCCUGAUACCUGGUCACCGUGGGGAGCACGUGGUUCUGCCUUCUAGAAAGGUCCGAGGCGAUGGCCAGCGGGCGAGUUGGGCCGGCAGGCUGUGGGUGGGGAGGGUGCAGGCUGCAGGGCAGGAGGAAGGGUGGGGGCGGAGCCUGGGGCCCCCAGGUGUGCUGCCUCCCACAUGGCCAGCGGGAGCAGCUUUCCCAGCGGUCUCUGUGUUUGCAGGCCCGGCCGGUGGGAAGGAGUUUUAUUUAAGGAUUAUCACUUGAUUUUUAUUUCUGGCUGUGGCUGGGGCUGUCGAAUUCUGUGCCAGGAGGACUCCUGCUUGAGAGUUCUACUUUCACACACUUAAAAAUAGCCUGGAAGCUGGUUCCUUCCUCCCAGUGACUCCCCUGGAGGCUGGGGUGCUGGGUUGGGCCGUGGCCCACGCUGUCGGGGUGUGUGGUGGGCAUGGCCCAGGGCGUCCUCUCUCUGUCCCUCCGAGUCUGGGUGGCCGUGGGCUGGCAGUGGAGGAGGUGCCCGGAGUCCCCGGUCAGCUUGCCGACCCUGCCCGCCUCUCAGGCUCGGGGUCGGGGGGGGGGAGGCGCCUGCUGGACCCUGUGCGCGAGCCCUGCACGGAGUGCCUUACCACACCCUGCUGUUUUCCGGGCUCCACGUCUGUGGCUCAUUUUGCCUUGUCCCUUGGCAAGCAGCGGUCAGCAGUCUCUGUAAGGGGCCCCGAACGCCCCCACUAGAGCAGGACCUGGCUUGUGUGGACCCUGCCGCUGCAAGAAGGGGGCAUUUGGGACGAGGGAGCCAAGGCUUAGAAAGUCCGAGCGUCCCUCAGGGCUCACCACAUCCCCGGGCCUCCCCCUGCCCUGAGUCUGCUGCCCAACGGCUGUCACGGGAGUGGGUGGCAUCAUGCCAUGUGCCCGCCGCUCUCAUGGGGGCCCCAUUGGACAGCCGUGCAGGGAGGGAAUUCACGAAUUCUGGGGCAGACUCCCAGUCCUAGAAGGUCCUAGAAGGUCUGGGGAUUCAGACUCCCUCCUCAGGCAGGCAUUUGGGCUCCCACAGUCUCCCCCAGGCUUCCGGCUGCCCCCAGCGCUCUGCUGCGGCACCCCCGUGGCCACACCAGUCCUUGGAAGGGAGCGAAUCACUGUGCUGGGGACCUCACUGUGUGACCCUGGCGGGCCCGGUGGUCUCUAACGCGGCCGCCUUUCCUGCCCCGCAGGGCCCUGACUUGGUGGUCUGAUGUGCCAGGGUGUGGCUCCCGCUCCUGGGGACCCCGCCUGUAACUUAGCCGCUGGUGCCUGUGGACUGAUGGGCAUCUGGCCCCCUGCAAGAGUGGCUCCCACGGCCCGUGAGGCAGGCCGGGUGCAGCCUGCCCCCCACGAAGAGGCAGAGAGGGGCUCCGAACAGCCUGAGAGCAUGCUUCACCAAAAUGGCGCGUGUAGGGCAUGGGCUUGUGGAAGUGUGGGCGACUGGAUGUCCUCUGUGCUGGUACUUCUCACAACGGGACUUCAGAGAGUCAGAGCUCUCGUGGUCAGGGCUGGUGGGGCACUUUUCGAAUCCUGCUUCAGGUGGGGCCCAGAGAGAGGUGGGGAGGAGAUGGGUGGGAGGAGGGGGCUGCUGGGGCCCCUGCAUCUCCUGAGGGCCAUUUGACCCAGGAAAGGGGUCCGUUCUGUGUUUUGUGACCUGUGGAUUCCCGUGGGGCAGGUGGAAGGAGGGACCCGUCCCUCCCUCCCGGGGCCCAGUAGGGCCUCCUUGGACGCAGUCUUGUCUCAGGAAGGAAUGUGGGGCGGAAUCCUGGCCCCCAAAAGUGUCUGCGCCCUCAUCACCAGAACCUGCCACCGUGUCACCUUCGUGGCCCAAGGGACUUGUAACUGAGUUAAGGAUCCGAGAGGGGGCCAUCCUGGUUACCCGGUGUGCCCAGUCUGAUUAACUACAGCAACUCCCGCGAGAGGGAGACAGAGGGUCAGGGGAGAUGGGACGAUGGAGUCAACGUGAGGUGGUCCCGUGCUGAGACCCGGGAGCCCCACGCUCUGGCAGCCGAGUGUCCAGGCCCGGGGCCCGGGCUCUGCAGAAGGAAGGCUGGUCGCUGCUGGAAAGACUGUGGUCUGGGCUCUGAGGUCAGAGGGCGUUGGGGUCAGCGGCGGCCCCGAGGGGAGGCUGGGUGGAGUGAGACCGGCUCAGCAGUUGCCACUCAGCGGGAAGGGAGGAGGGAGAAAUCGAUGGCCGUGGGGGGGGGGGGUGGCGGGGGGCGGGUAGGGUUGUGCUGCUGUGUCCUGUGCCCCGUGCACUGUGAUUGACCUGAAUAUGUCACCAGCUGGGGGGACAGGCCGGAACACCCACCCUCCCUGGGUCUGGUCGGUAUUUCAGGCUCGGGGAGAGAGCCGCGUGGCCUUGCAGAGAGCUGUUCGCUCAGAGAACGGGAGGGAGAUGGCCCCAAAUGCCAGUUGGGUUUAUUUAUCCAGACGUCUCUGUGCCGCCGGGAGAGGAGGCGCUGAAGAGGUGGCGUUCUCUUUUCCGGGAAGGGGGACGGGCAGAUUUGCCUGGCUGCGUCCUAGGGUGUGAAUCUGUGAGCCGCUGCCCCGCACUGGCUGGGGGAGGGGGGGAGGUUUGUGGCGCGGGGGUGAGGGCUGGGGGUGCGUUCGUCUCUGUUCCGCAGGGGGGCCACCGACCCGGGGAGGCCAGGAGACCGAGGGGCAGUCCGGGGCUGAGGUCCCAAGCCUCCAUCCUGGGCAGGGCAGGGCAGGGCAGGGCAGGGCCGAGCCGAGGGGGCUUAACCCCCGAGGGUGUUAAGAGGACCUGGCUCUUGGCUGCCCCGCGUCUCUGAAACCACCUGCGACGGUGAGUGUGUCUUUUUUUGCUCAGCGCACCAGCGGCUCAUGGGGCGGAAUCUGGGUGUCCACACGUGUCCACGUAGGCUUGGCCCACUGUUGCCACGUGGUGGAACCCAGCCACGUGUUGAGCUUCCGCAGGUUGGCCUCCUGGGGAAGGGAGCUCGGGGGUGGCCACGUUAAGUGAAGUGUGGUUUCCUGCCAAUGAUGCAGGAGGGGCUGACUGCCUGUGGAUGGGGGAGGCGUCCACAGCUGCCUUGACCUUCAGACGGAGCUGAGAUACACAGAGGUAUUUGGGGUGCGUGUGGGUGUUGGGAUGGGAAAGCUCGAGAACACCCCAAUCUGGGCACUUGUGAGGUGGCCCCCGGGGUACCUGACUUGGCCAGUGGCCAUUCCCCCGGGGGAGAGGUGCCCUCACCCCUGUCCAGGGCUGUCUGCCCGUAAGCACGUGGUGGACAGGACCCCGUGGAGGCUCACCCCGAGGUUCAUCCACUGGCUUAUCCAGUGAGUCUUGACCGGGCACCUGCUUAGACCAGGCCCGCCGCGGGUGGACCACACUGCUCCGAAGCGAGUGCCCUGGGAGGAGGCUGGGCAGUGCUGUGUAGGCACACGGGAGGGCAGGGCUCUCCCACUGCCGGUGUGCGGGCGCCCUCUUGGAAGAGGGUCCCCGGGCCCUACCUGUGUCAGGACCCACCUCCCAAGGGGCCCAAGGGCCAGUGGGGAGCUGUGUCCAGGCCAGCCCCCUGGGGCCAGCAUACCCAGAAGAUGUGCUCACAGGGGCCACCUGAUGCCUGCUCUGGCCGGGGUGCGGUUGCUUCAUCACAGCAGUGUUCCCUCUGACGAAGCCUGGUGCAUAAUACGCGCACAGUGGGCGUUUGCUGAGGAAGUUGUGUGCGAGCAGGUGGUCUCUCUGGGCAGCUGGGCUUAGUGUGGGGCCGAGUGGAAGUCUCUGCGGCGGCCGGAGCUCCCGGGCCGAUAACGUGCUAAGCUGUGGGUCCCCGGUCGCCCGAGUACCUCCCAGCCGGUGCCGUGUGUGCCUGGAAACCACAGGUGGGGACUCCCAGUCCUCCUGAGCCCUCAGGGUGGGUCCCCGGGAGCCCCGGUGCAGGGCUGGGGAAGGCUGAGGCCUGACGCGUGGGGGCUGGCGGGUCCGCUGCGCAGGGUGCGGAUGUCCCUCGGGUGCCGGAGGCGUCGUGCCAGGGCAGCGGCCCCUCCCCCACCACUGGUGUCCUCGCCGUCGGGCUCCCGGCCGGUCCCGGUGUGUGCGUCCUACAGCUGGCACGUCUGCUCCCGCCGCUGGGUGUGCUGCCUGAGAGCUCGCUGGGCUGUCCUUGCUCGCCUGCUGUCCGUUCACCGUGCCUUUCCUGGCUUCUCCUUGGGCCAGGCUGGGCCCUGGGCCUUCACAGACAGUAGACAGACGGGGACUGUGGGCUCGAGCCAGGGGAUCCUGCGCGUGAGUGUAGACUUAGAAACGUGGUGUGUUUCUAGCGGUCGCGUUUGCUGAGCCUUUAUCUGUGGACCUGCAUCCCCUCGAGGAAUCCCCUCCCAGCACCCUGAGGAGAACCCAUGUUGCCCACGUUCCUGUUAGAGCAAACCCAUGAGGGAAGUGACAAAAUGCCACGUUGAAUGUGUGGGGAGCGGUCGGGGAGGUUGCUCUGGGAGGGGAAAUGGUGCCUUGAGACUGAGUGGCAGGGAGGGGGCACCAGCAUGUGCAAAGGUCCCGGGGCAGGGUCAGACCGUGGGCCGAGCUCUGAAAGGAGAUCCCUGUGGCUUGGACCCAAAGAGCAAAGCCGAGGGAAGAGCAGUGAGACACAGCAGGCGAGGCGGAGUGGGGGGCAUCGCUUUGGAGGGAUUCGCUGAGUAGUUGGAUUUUAUCGCAAGCCCCUGCCGACUUUUAGGCAGGAUGGCGGCAGGAGUGCCGUUUAGAGGUGGAUUGGAGGGUGUCAGGGGGCCAGUUAGGAACCAUAAACCUGGCUGGCUACCGUGAGCGGGGACACAUGGCUGCCUCGGCAGGGCUGGGGGGGCGGGGCUCAGCUGGGCUUCCCGCAACCCUGGAGCUGGGGCUCUGUGCUCCUGUCACCUGCCUCCCUGGCCCCCUUCCCUUGCUGCCUGGCCCCUGUUGCUGGCUCUGACUCAGAAGUGGCUCUCUGGACCUGGGCAGAGACCACCCUCUCCUCUCCCCUCUGCACGGCCCCCCUUAUGGGGCCUGUUCUGUGUCCAGAUUCAGCGGGUCCAGAGGCCUCAGUCUUUGGGGAGACUUAGCUGUGUGGGGGCCACCCUGCUUCACCCCGGGACUGAGGGGGUCUGCGUGGGAGCUGGGAGGGACCGCUCCCUGUAGCGUUGGCGUGUCCUCUUUCUGUGCGGGACCUUCUCCCAACAGGCCUCAGUAGUAGGAGGGGCCCGGAGGGGCUGGCGGGUGCUGGAGGGUGCUGGGCGCAGUUGCCCGGAGCCGGGCGGAUCCCUGCGGGGUUAGACGCACGGGAGGGCCUCGCGCACUCCAAACGCUCACCGAGCAGGUGGACCCCGGCCCUC